ACUCCCUGAGCCCGAGUGUGGAGCCCGGCAAUACCACAGCCCCACCGCGCUCCCUCCGGCUCAGACCGCUGAAGGGUUUCCCUUCCCGGCUGCUGCUGAUCCCUUCCUAUUCCGGAGUCACACAGCCCAGCAGUGCCCCCGAGCAGCGAUGGGUCCCAAGGACCACUUGGGAUGGUCAUGCAGAUGCUGGUGCUGCUGCAGCACAGCCUGUUUGCAGUCGUGCUGCGGUCCCGGCGGCUGCAGGUAGGUGAUGGAUGAGGGGCCCGGGGGUGCGGGGGCACAGGGGCUGCCCCUCACCCACCCACUCACUGCUCCCACAGAAGAUCUGCCGGAGGUUGGGGAAGAAGAGGAGAGCGCCGAGCGCCAGGAGGAAGAAGGGGAGAGAUGCUUGCGGGAAGGACGGAGCAGCGGGGAUGUCGUCGCCGACCUGGGAGUUGCGGACGAGCCCACGGGAAAGGAGCAGGAAGCCACCCCGCGCCCCGCUGGCAUCCAUGCUGUCCCUGGGCUCCCUUGAUGAAUCUUCUUCCUCCUCCGGUUCCUCCCUCUACUCCUUCCCAGAGCCCUGGCCCGGUGCACUGUCAGAGUUGGCUGCCCUUGCCCCUCGUGCCGCCCCAGAGCCACGAGAGCCACAACCAGGGCCAGAGCCACAGCAAGAACCAGAGCCAGAGCCAGAGGCAGAGCUGGAGCCCCAACCAGAGUCAGAGCCAGAGUCAGAGGCAGAGGCAGAGGCAGAGGAAGAGCCUGAGGAAGAGCUGGAGCCACAACCAGAGUCAGAGGCAGCGUCAGAGGAAGAGCCAGAGGAAGAGCCUGAGGCUGAGCCAUCCCUGUGCCCCAGCUCGGAGUCCCCGGCUCUGCUGAGAGCAGCCCCCAGCACCCCCUAUUCCCUGCGGAUGACUGAGCAGAGCGAUGGAGCGCAGAGCCCCAUGGAGCCCUCCCCGCCCCACUGCUCCCACACGGAGCUCAUCCAGGAGCUGAUCUGUGCCAUCCGUGAGAACCACGCAGCCGUUGAGCGCCGCUGCCAACUGCUGCGGGCAGUGCUGGAGCGGCAGAGGGCAGCCGGGACACCCAGAGAGCCCCUUCACGACCCCCCGGCCCAGGAGCACCCCGCCCAGGAGCCCCCCCCCCAGGAGCCCCCCAGUCUCCAUCUGCUUGUUCAGAUUAAUGUCCUUAGUACGGGGAUGUGGCCGCUACUGAAGAGGGCCA
ensembl:lncRNA